UGUAAGGGUUUUCCCAUCUUUUUGUAUUAACUUGAUUCCUGGCGCAGUGGUGAACUGGAGGGUACAGUGGCUGCCCAGUCUGCCCAUUGAUCUUUCAUCAGUCCAUAGAGUGGGCUGAACACUAGGAGCAGCCUUCUUUUUAUGGCAGCCUGCUGGAGCCUGCCUAUGAUUGUUCCUGGUUUCCUCAGAUUGUUUUUCAUUUAGUCCGGGUGCAGUGCCUCGCGCACUCAGAUUGUGAGGUGGAGUGCUGCAGACAUUUAGGGGAGCACGUAACAGCUGCACUCUGGCUUCUGGAAGGCUCCGGGGGGAGAUGACCAGAGAGAGAGAGAGAAAAAAGCCUGACUCCAGACCAGCGGAUCAAUUUUCACUGGACCUUGAAUAUUUUAUGCAGCAAGUCUUGCAGAAGACACACAGACAGACUAAAUUAAUGGCAAACGACCAUGUCCGUAACCCCCACUCAUCCACACAGACAGCACACACCCACCCCGCAACUUCACCCCAAGGGCCACGCCAGAAGAAUCAUGUCUGGAUCAGAUUGCUGGUCACCCUGACCAUGUGGUUUAUGUAACACUCUAACACUGAGACAGCCCGGUAUCUGUAAAGAUGCACCAGACCAGAACAUGUGUAUAGCCACUCAAUUCCCAUCUAUUAAACAUUAAAUAAUGUGUGGUAUAGGUUUUAGGCUACUAACCACAGGGUUUUAAGAUAUACUGUAGUUAUAAAUAUUAGAAUGAAAGCAAUUCGAGAUCCAAUUGUUCAGUUCAUACCUAGUUCAUCUUUCUGAUAAAUGUGUGCAUAGCAAAAUAACACAAAUGAUUGAAAUCAGAACCUACAAGGUACAUUUCUGUUACCAAAACGUUCUUCUUUCUAAUAUUUGUAAUAUGACGCCCUGUCCCUGAUACACAAACAAAACUGUGUCUCACGUAUUUGAUCGUGUAACAUAAUUUGCCAGCUAAAUGCAGGGCAAUGAUCGUUUGGCUUUCUCAAAUCCAUUCAGAAAAGCAAGGAUAUAACCUGACAAACCAAGUCAGGUAACAAGGUAUUGAAAUGUGUUAUGCGCAAUUAUACAGAGAUGGUAUGGGACAGACCAUCCACCCAUGUUCAAUACAAUACUACGUUUACAUGUUACUCACUGCAAGUGGAUAACCCUAACCUCAAGACUAUAGUCUAAAGCCAAACCUACUAUAAGGAUGCCGUUUCACCGGCUGCCUCCAAAUACCUUCCAUCAGUGAAACCAGAUCCAGUCAAACCCUGUAUUUGUUUAUUAAGUAAAUAUGCUCUUGGUCUGGCUUGCUCCCAAGACGGCUGUAACCGAGAGAUUUGUUCAUGUAG
ensembl:lncRNA